rnacentral:lncRNA from 1 species
GAUCCUUCUGCUACGUAAGCCCACGCUUUUGAGAAACUUUCCUGCAGAUAGAGCAACAAGGUCUUUUUAUUUUACAAUAUAUACUGUGCUGGGCCAAAAUGCUUUCCUUAGCUCAUAAACAAUCUCGGCAUCGGUUUUCUAUUUUUCGAAUAUAUAGGAUAGCUAAGCGUCCAAACUUAAAAUUCCCAGAGGACAUGUCACGUCUGCAUGCAUAUUCCUUUGUGCGCCGGUUUCGCCCCAGAGGGGGGGGGGGGGGGGGGGGGCAGAAACAGAGAACAAUGAGAUACACAUGAGAAGGAAAAAAGAAGAUAUCGAUUGCAUGGAAGUCUAUCUAAUUUCCUGUCGUAUUUUUUUUACAACCUUUUUUUAGGAGAAUGAGGGGGAUGAGUGUCACCACCUGACUUUUUACCACAGAUGCCGGCAAGUCAGGAAUGUACGGUGCGUGUUACAUAGUCGGGAGCCCUACGGCUAGAUAAUACAAAGGAGGGAGAGAGUAGAGAACUCACGCCAUAGUAAACAAAUUACACCACACACCAACUAUCGAGCGGUGCUUGCGAGGCAAGCGACCUCUCCAUAGUACACAGUCCUCUCUACAUCCACAGAACAAACGAGCGAGGUCGAGACACUCACUUCUGAAAUCAAUGUCGUGGCGGUGCUUCCAAAGUCUCCAACAGCAUAGGAGUAAGAAAGUCGAGAGCAGGAUAACAGGUAUACCAGUGGGGGGCUGUGUGUUCCAUAUGGAGGUCGGUGAUGGGAGUGAGGAGGCAGGCCACCCUAGUUUUGUCCAGAACAAGCGGGCAAAGCUGCAGUUGGAGAACAGAUGUUCGGCAUCCUCCUCUCCUUGGUGGCAAAGUUUACACACGGCCGGAGAUCAUUAGCGGCCUACUGCAUCAUAACGGCAUCGGCAUGGAAUAUAUGGAACGAGCGCAACAGGAGGAUCUUUGGAAAUAAAUUCCUAUCGCCUAUGCAGCUGCUUCUUCGCAUUUAGGAGGACAUAAACUUCAGGAAGCAAGCGAGCGGGAAGCCUGAGCUGGAAUAAAGUCUCUUUAGUUUUUUUCAUGAAUGAGUCAUUUGAGCCUGUAUCAUGUAAGAUCGACUUAACUGUAACCGCAAACUUCUACCU